rnacentral:snRNA from 1 species
GGUGCACCGCCGACCGACC